UGGCAUAUAGCUCAGUCGGUGAGAGCGCCGGCCUUAUAAGCCGUAUGUCGUGAGUUCGAGUCUCACUAUGCCAA
rnacentral:tRNA from 1 species